rnacentral:rRNA from 1 species
GACGUAGGGCGCGAGCGUUGUCCGGAUUUAUUGGGCGUAAAGAGCUCGUAGGCGGCUUGUCGCGUCGACCGUGAAAACUCACAGCUCAACUGUGAGCUUGCGGUCGAUACGGGCAGGCUCGAGUUCGGUAGGGGAGACUGGAAUUCCUGGUGUAGCGGUGAAAUGCGCAGAUAUCAGGAGGAACACCGGUGGCGAAGGCGGCUUGCUGGGCCAGUUCUGACGCUGAGGAGCGAAAGCGUGGGGAGCGAACAGG